CCCGUUUCGGCUCGGUGAAGCUACCUAUGGGUUGCUGUUCAUUUAACAAACGGUGAUCCGGAUAAACAUGUUCACUUCUUCGCCUGGGCAAACUUUCCAGCCCCCGACCCACUCAUGUCACGAUACCUUCCCGUGUCCAAGUCCGGCUCUCUGCUCCCCACUUUUUUUUUUUUUUUUUUUUGAGACAGAGUGUUUCUCUGUCUCCCAGGCUGGAGUGCAGUGGCGCGAUCUCAACUCACAGUACCCCCUGCCUCCCGGGUUCAAACGAUUUUCUUGCCUCAGCCUCCUGAGUAGCUGGGAUUACAGGCGCGCGCCACCACAGCCGGCUAAUUUUUAUGUUUUAGUAGAGACAGGGUUUCACCAUGUUGGCCAGGAUGGUCUCCAUCUCUUGACCUCGUGAUCCGCCCGCCUCGGCCUCUCAAGGUGCUGGGAUUACAGGUGUGAGCCGCCGCGCCCGGCCUCUUUGCUCUUUUAUACUCUCAGAAGCAAUGAGUUCUGGUUAAAAAAAAGGGCUCGAUAGACGGAAAAAAUGAAGGCUUAAAGAACUGACAACAAAAUAUUAACAUUUGGCUUGUGGAAUUCUUACACUCUCGUAAGCAGAAAAAACAAAUGUUAUGGCAAAAAAGUGUCUCAGACAAAUCCGUCUUGGGGGGAAAAAAAUUAAAAGAAUGAGAAAAACAGACUUCGGAAUAAAUAGACCCAAAGGAGGAAGUAUUGAAAAUGGCAAGAUUCACUUUUACAAACUUAUUUGGAACCACGGCAGAUGGCCAGGGCAGGGAUUUUGCAAGGCAGCUCCAGUUGUAAGUAAAACCUGAAACAAUGGUUUAUUUCCACUCUCAUUGAAAGUGCUGUCUUAUUUUUACAGGAAAGAGUGAUGAUGGGAAUAUUAGGCUUUAAUUCGAGAUCUGAGCUGGUUAAAAAUAAAAACGUUUAUUAUUCCAGAAAAAUCUACGUCAGUGUUUUUAAAUGUUCUGAUUUGAAAAAAUAUUUGUAUAUUUUAUCUGAAUAUUAGUUAUUAUCAAAUGAUGUAAAAGAAAUUUGUAAAGGCUGUACCAUAAUUGUAACAAUAAGGUUUUUCUGUAGAGCAGAGGUAUAGAAAAAUUAACAUUUUUUAAAGUCCUGCAUAUUUUUAAAACAGUGAUAUUUAUGUUUUUCCUUGCAAAACAAUU
rnacentral:lncRNA from 1 species